rnacentral:lncRNA from 1 species
UCAACCAUAAACAGUCAACACCAAAACAGUCAACAAGAAACAGUCAACAAGAAAACAGUCAGCCAGAAAACAGUCAAAAAGAAAACAGUCAGCAAGAAAACAGUCAACCAUAAACAGUCAACCAUAAACAGUCAACACCAAAACAGUCAGCCAGAUAACAGUCAACAAGAAAACAGUCAACAAGAAAACGUCAACCAUAAUCAGUCAACACCAAAACAGUCAACAAAAAACAGUCAACAAGAAAACAGUCAGCCAGAAAACAGUCAACAAGAAAACAGUCAGCAAGAAUACAGUCAGCAAGAAAACAGUCAACCAUAAACAGUCAGCAAGAUAACAGUCAGCAAGAAAACAGUCAGCAAGAAAACAGUCAACCAUAAACAGUCAGCAAGAAAACAGUCAACCAUAAACAGUCAGCAAGAAAACAGUCAACCAUAAACAGUCAGCAAGAAAACAGUCAUCCAUAAACAGUCAGCAAGAAAACAGUCAACAAGAAAACAGUCAACAAGAAAACAGUCCACACCAAAACAGGCAACAAGAAAACAGUCAACAAGAAAAUGCUGCUCCCCCGUGUCGUUCAGGAGCCCAAACAAAGUUAGCGUGCUACAAUAUCGGACAGUAGAAACCAACCAGAAAGUUCGGAAAAUUGUCUGAAUCCUCCUUUGGCCACGACUGCCGACACAAGCAAGAAAACACUCAAACAUAAACAGUCAGCAAGAAAACAGUCAGCAAGAAAACGUCAACCAUAAUCAGUCAACAAGAAAACAGUCAACAAGAAAACAGUCAACCAUAAACAGUCAACAUCAAAACAGUCAACAAGAAAACAGUCAACAUCAAAACAGUCAACAAGAAAACAGUCAACACCAAAACAGUCAACAAGAAAACAGUCAGCAAGAAAACAGUCAACCAUUAACAGUCAACAUCAAAACAGUCAACAAGAAAACAGUCAACAAGAAAACAGUCAGCAAGAAAACAGUCAACCAUAAACAGUCAACAUCAAAACAGUCAACAAGAAAACAGUCAACAUCAAAACAGUCAACUAGAAAACAGUCAACAAGAAAACAGUCAGCAAGAAAACAGUCAGCAGGAAAACGUCAACCAUAAACAGUCAACAUCAAAACAGUCAACAAGAAAAGUCAACAAGAAAACAGUCAGCAAGAAAACAGUCAGUAGGAAAACGUCAACCAUAAACAGUCAACAUCAAAACAGUCAACAAGAAAACAGUCAACAAGAAAACAGUCAGCAAGAAAACAGUCAACAAGAAAACAGUCAGCAAGAAAACGUCAACCAUAAACAGUCGACAAAAAAAACAGUCAACAAAAAAAACAGUCAACAAGAAAACAGUCAACAAGAAAAUGCUGCUCCCCCGUGUCGUUCAGGAGCCCAAACAAAGUUAGCGUGCUACAAUAUCGGACAGUAGAAACCAACCAGAAAGUUCGGAAAAUUGUCUGAAUCCUCCUUUGGCCACGACUGCCGACACAAGCAAGAAAACAAAGUAAAUACCGGAGACUCUGGAGGAAUAACGGGCGCUUAAAACGGAGGUAGACCGGACAAGAGCUAAAAAGCCGGGUCAACAUAAACGAUGGGGGACGCUUGGGGAUCUUGGUGACCCUGUAACCUUUCUGCUGGACAGGUAAACCGCUUUAACAAAGUAAGACAAGUGUCUGUAACAGAAGUGUUUCUUGUCAAACGGACCUGCUGUAGCGUGUUGUAGCGCCAUCGCUAAACUGUCCUCCCUCGGGUCCUGGACUAUG